AAAAAAGGUAAACUGGAAUAAGAUGAGCCAUAAUUUUCUGAUUUUUUCCAUAUUGAAAGUAAACAAAUUCCACUAAUAAAUUAGAUGUUUUUUGUCCUGUAAAUGGUAUAUUAUAAUGGUAAUGAUAAUGCGUAGUUAGGGAUCGGUGUAUCCCCUGUACACACACCUACACAGUUGUAGUUAUGUUCACCGAAGCAACAGAGAUGCAUAAAGUAUGAGUAAAGCGAAGGAAAGUACCACAAAUAUUUAUGUAAUAUAAUUCAUCUAAAUUUAACAACUCGAACGGGGGACAGGAAAGCAAGAUAUAAAAGAAAUUACGAGUAUUCUUCAAUAAAAAACCAAUAAAGUACUUUGCUUUUCCAAAUAGUUACUGUAAAUUAUCUCAAAACCCAAGAACAAAGACACAAAGACACGAAAUAAAUCUUAAACAAAUAAAACAUAACCUAACCACAAGAACAACAACAACAACAACAACAACAACAACAACAAAGAGAAACAAACUAUAUAUACUUGCGUAUUUAACAAAUUAUAUGAAAAAUUAUAUGAAAUGAUGUUGAUUAUUGAUUUAAAUUUAAACUGAGAAAGUGAAUAAAACAAAUUAUAUAUACACCUAUACAUAUAUAUAUAUAUAUAUAUAUAUAUACAUACAUAUAUAUAAAUAUUAAACCAGACAAAAGCAGAAAAUUUCAUUUGUGUUUUUCUUCAGUUUAAGUAUCUUUAGUUACACAGCGUUACACUGGGCCACACACAAACCCGAACCCCACGUGCGACAAUGUAAGUGUGACCCUCUCUCAAAUCCGAAUGUACAUACAUAAAUACAUACGUACACACACACAGUGACACAGACGCAAACACAGACACACAGACACACAGACACACUGAAACUACUGACCACACGAACUGACCAAAAUGCAAGUCGUACACUUAAAUGUAUUAUAAAGUUAGUUAUAUGUACAACAACAAAAUGUGUAUAUGUACUUGUACUAUUAUUUCCUAAUAUCGAAAGCAGAGAUUCGAAAUAAACGUUAUCAAAGCAGCAUUCAAAAGCAGCGCAAAAGCCAUCACGAAAAGCACAAAUCAGUAGAAAAAGCGAAAUGAAGCUAAACAAAACGAAACGAAAACAAACUAACAUAAAAUAGGUAACGUAACAAUAACAACAAAACGAAGAUAAUGUAGCAGUCCAUGUAUCUUUAUUUUAUAGAUAUGUAUGUAUGUAAUUUAUAUCGAUAAUUCAGGCAUAAAUGCAUUUAGAAACCAGACCAUAACCAGAGCAUAAACCGAUCGUUGGGUAUAGCAGAAGGAACCUGAAGAAUUGAACAUCGAUUGAUCGAUAUCAUCUCACAAGGGUAUUCACUAUAAUGAGAGGGGGGAUCUGGAAUGGACAUGCCGUGUGUCUGUGUAGGAAAAUGAAUAGCGACAAAUACAAGAUAUAGAAAUAUGCGUUAUAGGUACAAGCCACCUAAAAUAUAGGACAAUGUUUGAUGUUGAUAUGAGUUAAUCUGGCCACAUAGCGUGCGCAUUAUAUGCAUACAUACAUACAUACAUACAUAUAUGUAUGUACGAGUAUACAUGGUACAUACAAUUCGAGUACAAUCCCAGGCGAAGAAUAGCCCCAGCAUAAUCAGCAUUUUAUACGAGUAUGCCAGGUGAGCAGCAGGGAGCAGUAGGAAGUACCCUAGACAUUUAUACAUAACCAUCAAGAGCACCGCAUAGUAUGAAGUUACCAUACGAUAUAUAAAUAAUUACAUAAAUAAACAAUAAACACACUACACAUACUCGUGCUAUGAAUGGCAAGUACUACCGCACCUGGGUAGUAGAGUAGGCCAAUUCUCAGUUCAGAAUCCACAAUACCUACCUAGAACACUCACUCGGCACCACACUCUCACCCACGCGGAUAUCAUUUAAUGACUCCUUGCGGAGUUUUGUUGUUUAUGAUAAACUGUUUAUAGAUGUUUUUGAAUUUUAAAUAAAUUAUAUUUACUAUAUGGCAAAGGCAAAUAAGACCUGAG